rnacentral:rRNA from 1 species
CCCUUAGAUGUUCUGGGCCGCACGCGCGCUACACUGUUCGACGCAGCGAGUCUUAACCUUGACCGAAAGGUUUGGGUAAUCUUCAGCAAAGUCGAACGUGAUGGGGAUCGAUCAUUGCAAUUAUUGAUUGUGAACGAGGAAUUCCUAGUAAGUGCAAGUCAUCAGCUUGCGCUGAUUACGUCCCUGCCCUUUGUACACACCGCCCGUCGCUACUACCGAUUGAAUGGUUUAGUGAGAUCUCUGGAUUGACGCUGGCUAGGGGGCGACCCUUGGCCAGACUGUUGAGAAACUGCUCAAACUUGAUCAUUUAGAGGAAGUAAAAGUCGUAACA